GCCCUCUUUCUUCCAUUCACUUACCUGUCUAGUCAAACACCCAUCAGACCUUUGCCAGGUGUCCAGCCUGGGCACUACGUUUCAGAAAAUGAUGCACAUAGAAUCCCUAACUGAAAGGAGAUCGCAGCUCAUUUGGUACAAAGUGGUAACGGCAGAGUCCCAAAACACAUGAAGCAAGAACUGACAGAACUGGAGGGAGACAUCAAUCAAUAACAACAGUUGGAGAAUUCAAUACCCUGCUCUGAAUAAUGGAUAGAACAAUUAGGCAGAAGACCAACAAAGAAAGAGGAUAUUUGAACAACGUGAUAAGCCAAUUUGACCUAAUAAAUAUCUUUAUCUGUGAAACACCCUA
ensembl:lncRNA UVRAG-DT UVRAG divergent transcript